UACGUAGGGUGCGAGCGUUGUCCGGAAUUAUUGGGCGUAAAGAGCUCGUAGGCGGCUUGUCGCGUCGGAUGUGAAAGCCCGGGGCUUAACUCCGGGUCUGCAUUCGAUACGGGCAGGCUAGAGUUCGGUAGGGGAGAUCGGAAUUCCUGGUGUAGCGGUGAAAUGCGCAGAUAUCAGGAGGAACACCGGUGGCGAAGGCGGCGAUCUGGGUAGAUACUGACGCUGAGGUGCGAAAGCGUGGGGAGCAAACAGG
rnacentral:rRNA from 1 species